ACAUACAUCAAGGGUCCACACAAUGAGA
rnacentral:piRNA from 1 species